GGCGUGCGAUACAGGGUGACAGCCCCGUACACAAAAAUGCACAUAUUGUGAGCUCGAUGAGUAGGGCGGGACACGUGGUAUCCUGUCUGAAUAUGGGGGGACCAUCCUCCAAGGCUAAAUACUCCUGACUGACCGAUAGUGAACCAGUACCGUGAGGGAAAGGCGAAAAGAACCCCGGCGAGGGGAGUGAAAAAGAACCUGAAACCGUGUACGUACAAGCAGUGGGAGCACAGAGCAAUCUGUGUGACUGCGUACCUUUUGUAUAAUGGGUCAGCGACUUAUAUUCUGUAGCAAGGUUAACCGAAUAGGGGAGCCGAAGGGAAACCGAGUCUUAACUGGGCGUUAAGUUGCAGGGUAUAGACCCGAAACCCGGUGAUCUAGCCAUGGGCAGGUUGAAGGUUGGGUAACACUAACUGGAGGACCGAACCGACUAAUGUUGAAAAAUUAGCGGAUGACUUGUGGCUGGGGGUGAAAGGCCAAUCAAACCGGGAGAUAGCUGGUUCUCCCCGAAAGCUAUUUAGGUAGCGCCUCGUGAAUUCAUCUCCGGGGGUAGAGCACUGUUUCGGCAAGGGGGUCAUCCCGACUUACCAACCCGAUGCAAACUGCGAAUACCGGAGAAUGUUAUCACGGGAGACACACGGCGGGUGCUAACGUCCGUCGUGAAGAGGGAAACAACCCAGACCGCCAGCUAAGGUCCCAAAGUCAUGGUUAAGUGGGAAACGAUGUGGGAAGGCCCAGACAGCCAGGAUGUUGGCUUAGAAGCAGCCAUCAUUUAAAGAAAGCGUAAUAGCUCACUGGUCGAGUCGGCCUGCGCGGAAGAUGUAACGGGGCUAAACCAUGCACCGAAGCUGCGGCAGCGACACUAUGUGUUGUUGGGUAGGGGAGCGU
rnacentral:rRNA from 1 species